rnacentral:tRNA from 1 species
GCGCCCGUAGCUCAGAUGGAAGAGCAACGGUUUCCUAAACCGUUGGCCGGAGGUCCGAAUCCUCUCGGGCGCA